rnacentral:lncRNA from 1 species
CCCGUGGCUUCUGGACUCUUCUAGAUGUUAGAUAAUUGCGCGGCACGUUAAUAUCUCUAUGUAAACCCGAUGUGUGGGCCUUUCCUCCGUAUUUCCUGAUAACCCCCUGCAGAAAUAGACAAACACCAAAACUCGUGGAAUUCUGUCAGAUAAAACACUAAGUCUGGAUGUCGGUUGCAUUUGGAUCAUUUUCUUUGUUUAUUUGAUGAUUCAAUCUGAUACUUAAGGACUGUCAAUAGUGACAACACCAAAGAGGGAGGGAAUCAGUGUUGAUGUAGCAGUACAAGCCCUACCCAUAGCUAUAGUGAACCUGCUGGAUGAGGAUGUUGAUUUUUAGGACCGGGUUGUGGAUAAGUUUCCAGAUGAUUUUUCAAAAAGGCUGCCAGGUACGCUACCUGAACCAGAGACAUUGAAUUUGCUAGUACAGUUGAAUCGGUAUUGGGAACCAGAAACAUGUGGGGAAAGAAAGGAUGAUCUAAGAGAAUCAUAUCCACAGUGGUUUGUUUAUGCAUUGCUCAAUCUCGAGGACGAGAUUCUUUUAAGGGGGCUAGAAUUUGUAACCCCGAUUUCAAUUAAUAGGGAUUAAUUGAAUUUAUUUAAGUAUUUAUUUGAGCAUUUAAAUCUAGCAAAUAAAUAAAUUUUUGUUGAAAUUAAAAUUUAACAUAGAGAUAGAAACUUGUCUAUGUAUUCAUGCUGGGGAAUAUUUUAUUUUGUGCUGAGUGACUUUGGAAUUGAAGUUAAUUGUGAUCAAAAUUCUAUUUGGAAAAGGCUUUGGAAAAUAAAAUAGAAAAGAAAACAAAGAAGAAAAAGAAAAAAAAGAAAAGGGAGAAGAAUCCCAGCUAGCCCAGCCCCCUUUCUCCCCUGGCCCAGUCCCCUGCGCGCGGCCCAACUAGCCCAGCUCCCGAGCGCUGCCUUCUUUCCUCUCUCUCUCUGCUUCGUUGACAAUCGGGGCCCACACAUCAGCAGGUUUUCCCCCAUCUCCUUCUUCCAGGCGUCACCAAGCCGGACCCAAACCGGGACGCCACAAAAUCCUCUCCUUUCCCGAUUUAUGCGAGAUUUGACUUCCCCGAGCUCUAUAAAGGCCUUUAGGUUCACCCCGCGUCUCUUUUUACCAACCACGCCGCGAAAACGUGGAAAACCAAGCCCAAGUCGCGCACGGUUGAAACUCGCCGAGAGGGAGCAAAACACCGCGCGUCGCGAGCUCUUUCCCUUGCUCCUCGGCCCCAGCGAAGUACCCCAACG